rnacentral:rRNA from 1 species
UGGGGAAUUUUGCGCAAUGGGCGAAAGCCUGACGCAGUAACGCCGCGUGGAGGAUGAAGGCCUUCGGGUUGUAAACUCCUGUCAGGAGGAACGACGGGGGUAGGAUGAAUAAUUCUAUCUCCCAGACGGUACCUCCAAAGGAAGCCCCGGCUAAUUCCGUGCCAGCAGCCGCGGUAAUACGGAAGGGGCAAGCGUUGUUCGGAAUCAUUGGGCGUAAAGGGCGCGUAGGUGGUCUUGUGUGUCUAUCGUGAAAGCACACGGCUCAACCGUGUAAAGUCGGUGGAAACUGCAGGACUUGAGGUUGGGAGGGGCUGGUGGAAUUCCCUGUGUAGCGGUGAAAUGCGUAGAGAUGGGGGAGAACACUUGUGGCGAAGGCGGCCAGCUGGACCAAUCCUGACACUGAGGCGCGACAGCGUGGGGAGCAAACAGGAUUAGAUACCCCGGUAGUCCCUGAGCGGGCUGGCAAGGCGCAU